UCAGUCCAGGCAUCAGCAAGAUCAAGAGCAGAGGACCCAGGGCUGACCUGAUCCUUUCUCAUCUCAUUCUAGAAUAGUUCAAAGAAUGUUGAGGUGGUGUCUCAUGGGGAGGAAUGAUGUCUCAAAAGCUGAUGACACAGCUUAAAAAUCAAUACUUGUAAAUUAAAAAAAGAAAAACUUAAUUUUAACCAAAAAACUCAGGAUUGUCUGCCCUUUGGGAUGGCUCCAAAGAGCACCAACCACCUUGG